UACGAAGGGUGCAAGCGUUGUCCGGAAUUAUUUGGCGUAAAGAGCUCGUAGGCGGUUUGUCGCGUCGGAUGUGAAAGCCCGGGGCUUAACUCCGGGUCUGCAUUCGAUACGGGCAGGCUAGAGUGUGGUAGGGGAGAUCGGAAUUCCUGGUGUAGCGGUGAAAUGCGCAGAUAUCAGGAGGAACACCGGUGGCGAAGGCGGAUCUCUGGGCCAUUACUGACGCUGAGGAGCGAAAGCGUGGGGAGCGAACAGG
rnacentral:rRNA from 1 species